rnacentral:lncRNA from 13 species
CCCAGAGAAAUUUUAAGUUCUGUCACUGGGGUUUUGGGCAGUUGCCAUUCUGAGGAGGAGCUGAAGAGCACUGCUCUGCCAAAGAAAAAGAAGCUGGGAGAUGAAUCACUGAGUGGUUACCCAGAACAGAGAAUGUUGUCUGCAUUCAUCUAUCUUCCAUUCAAUCUCCCUUCAGAAAGACUAUUAUGGAAUCUUCAAGUUGUGUUGACCUACCUGGGAGCAUGUUGGCUCCAGAAUUCCAAGCUUCAGUAAUUUUAUAAAACAAAAUUAAAAUACCAGAAGGAUGUAUUUGCAAACAAAUUAUAGAGCUUUAAGAUUAUACAACAGUUAAGAAAGCAUGAGGUGGGCAUAUGUGUGCCAAUAAGGAAUGAGUUUGAAAAGCAAGUUGGAGAACAACAUGAAUAAUGUGAUCACAUUUUUGCUUUUAGAAACCAAAGUUCCAUAUAAUACGUAGCUACCAUUUGGUAAGUUAUUAGUGUUUACCUGGCACUGUGCAAAGUGCUUUUAAAACCCUUAACUUGCCUGGGCAUGAUGGCUGGUCCUUUUAAUCCCAGUACUUUGGGAGUACAAGGCAGGUGGAUUAUCUGAGGUCAGGAGUUUGAGACCAGCCUGGCCAAUGUGGUGAAACUCUGUCUCUACUAAAAAUAAAAAUAAAUUAGCUAGUGUAGUGGCUAAGUAG